GGACUUAGUGAUCCGGUGGCAUAAAGUGGGAUUGCCAUCGCUCAACGGAUAAAAGCUACCCUGGGGAUAACAGGCUUAUCACUCCCAAGAGUUCACAUCGACGGAGUGGUUUGGCACCUCGAUGUCGGCUCAUCGCAUCCUGGGGCUGUAGCAGGUCCCAAGGGUUGGGCUGUUCGCCCAUUAAAGCGGUACGCGAGCUGGGUUCAGAACGUCGUGAGACAGUUCGGUCCCUAUCCGGCGCGGGCGGAGGAUAUUUGAGAGGAGCUGUCCUUAGUACGAGAGGACCGGGAUGGACGAACCACUGGUGUAUCUGCUGUCGACCAACGGCAUGGCAGAGUAGCCAAGUUCGGAAGGGAUAAACGCUGAAGGCAUCUAAGCGUGAAGCCCCCCUCAAGAUGAGAUAUCCCUCCUUCGGGAGUAAGACCCCUUGAAGACUACAAGGUAGAUAGGGCAGAGAUGGAAGCAUGGCAACAUGUGCAGUUGACUGUCACUAAUAGGUCGAGGGCUUGACCAA
rnacentral:ncRNA from 1 species